UGGGGAAUUUUGGACAAUGGGCGAAAGCCUGAUCCAGCAAUGCCGCGUGUGUGAAGAAGGCCUUCGGGUUGUAAAGCACUUUUGUCCGGAAAGAAAUCCUUGGCUCUAAUACAGUCGGGGGAUGACGGUACCGGAAGAAUAAGCACCGGCUAACUACGUGCCAGCAGCCGCGGUAAUACGUAGGGUGCAAGCGUUAAUCGGAAUUACUGGGCGUAAAGCGUGCGCAGGCGGUUUGCUAAGACCGAUGUGAAAUCCCGGGCUCAACCUGGGAACUGCAUUGGUGACUGGCAGGCUAGAGUAUGGCAGAGGGGGUAGAAUUCCACGUGUAGCAGUGAAAUGCGUAGAGAUGUGGAGGAAUACCGAUGGCG
rnacentral:rRNA from 1 species